GCGUGGGUGAAGAAGGUCUUCGGAUUGUAAAGCCCUUUCGGCGGGGACGAUGAUGACGGUACCCGCAGAAGAAGCCCCGGCUAACUUCGUGCCAGCAGCCGCGGUAAUACGAAGGGGGCAAGCGUUGCUCGGAAUGACUGGGCGUAAAGGGCGCGUAGGCGGCCCUGUUUGUCAGGCGUGAAAGUCCUGGGCUCAACCUGGGGACGGCGCUUGGGACGGCGGGGCUUGAGUGGGGAAGAGGGUCGUGGAAUUCCCAGUGUAGAGGUGAAAUUCGU
rnacentral:rRNA from 1 species